CCUAUUGGUGCAGGUAAAUUUUGCGAUAACCCUCGCAAAUAACCCUAUUGGUGCAGGUAAAUUUUGCGAUAACCCUCGCAAAUAACCCUGUUGGCACAGGUAAAUUUUGCGAUAACCCUCGCAAAUAACCCUGUUGGCGCAGGUAAAUUUUGCGAUAACCCUCGCAAAUAACCCUGUUGUUGCAGUCCUUUUCAGGAGCCUUUUCAGGCAGUCUUCUUUAAAGCGUAUUCCAUCCUUUCUAGGAGCUUUUUCAGGCACACAAGAUUUUUAAACCGUUCUUCAAUUGGGUUUAUCACGUUAGUCCCUCGGCAGUGAUAUCUUCCAAAACAUCAUCAACAAACAAUCAAAGGUGCUAUUUUUCUUUUUCAAUAUUUACUAACAUACUUCAACUAACACAACUAACAAUCAUGCAUCAUUCAACUAACACACCUCAUUCAUACAUAGUGCAUAUACAUACAUGGCUCUCAUUUAUUUUGGGAAGCUCACUGCAUCAUACAUUGCAUGCAUCAUAACAUUACAUAAAACUCAGGUUGCCUUUUUAGGCCGUGCUACAACCAAAACACAGUGGUCCCUUUCAAAAGCGUUUGCUCCACACUCUGAAAAAUGGUAUUCACCUCGGUGGCAUCUGUAAGCCCAUCUCCUCCAAAACUUCUUCCCAACAAGGCAAAUUUCAGGGCAUUUCAAUGUUCAAUCAUCUUCUACCUUUAGAUCACGAUAGGCAGACGUGCCUAUCCGACUCUUCAAGUCUAAGAAGAUUGAACAGGGGCAGCUGUCAUACCCCAAAAUUUGCCCGGUCAAUUCAUGUCUUUUAAUUCAUCAAGGAUCAAAAUUAAGAAUCAUGGGGUUUGACAUUCCUAUUGUCAAACCUGCGUUCUUAUAGAAUAUCCUGAGUUAAAAUUAGGGUUAAAGUUAGAAGGUGCGGGAGCCUAGUCAUCUGACCCAUCUGUGCCAUCUUCGAGAUUUUUAGUCCGUUUCACAAUUGAUCAUAUAGCUUAUGAUUUUUUGUCGGACUAUUUCAAUAUUUGAUUUGAUCAUCUUUAAUUAUUAUUAUUAAUUAGCUUGGACUGGUUAUUAGUUUUAAUAUUUGGUGUGAUUAUUUUUUAUUAUUAUUUAUAAAUAUUACUAUUGUUAGGAUUAAUAUUAUUAGGACUAUUAGUAUUAAUCUAAAUAUUAGUAUUAUUAGGAUUUUAUUCUUUUAUAAUUAUUAAGCUAAUUGGGUAAUAGGCCCAUUAGGCAUAGAAAAAAAACCUAAUUUAACUAAUAUAAAUAGGACUAAACCUAACAAUUAAAAAGGGGGGGAGGAGAGAAUUAACCCUAUUCGGUACCACUCUCCAUUCACGUACAAAUUUCCCCUACUUUUUAACAAACGCCACACUGUACAAAAUUCCACAAACGAACUUAUUCUCUUGGAAGAGACCACUUUCCAUGCAACAAUUCCAUCCUGACUUUUCCAACCAUUAUCACCAUCACCGUUACACUACACUCACAGUCAGCUUCCACCAUUGUUUUCCUCUCAAUUUUGCCAACAACCAACGCUCAGCUCUGGGUAUUCGCAAACGACGCAAUUCAGCUAGAAAAAGAAGCACGAUCGCUGCCGCUGAAGACCGCUCCGAUCUGCAACUCACGUGCGUCAAUCGCCGCCGUUAACGACUUCGCAUCACAGCCACGCUUCUGCGAAGAGCAUACCUCCGACAAGGCCACUUGCAACACGCACAACAACACAUCGCAUCAGCAACCUUCCAUCUGCCGUCGGACGUCAUCGCCGAAUCCGCUAUGAAUUGAUCGGACUCCCCCAUCUCCGACGAAACAACCACCACCUGUAAAUCAAUUAACAAGAAUCUAAGCAUCCACUGCUCUUCCUCCGCCUGUUCAUAAGGAGCUAUAUAUCUGAGCACACUGGUUGUUGCUUGCUAUCAACCCUAUAAGAGAAGUGGUAUAUUUUCUGAAUUCGGUAGAUGGUGAGUGGACCAAUUAUCCAGCUAUGAAGGCAAUGAUUGAUACAUCAAUACAAGUGUUCCGAAGUCAACGAGACGCACAGGUAUCCCGGACUAAAUCAAAUAACAUUACUUGGAUCAAAGUGCAGUGUCCGAUCCAGCGAAACAGUUCAGAUUGCAGAUACUAUGUUUUGAGGUUUAUGAAAGAAAUCAUUCAAGCGAAUUAAUUAGAGAUUCCAAUCACGUACUUUGACGACUUCUAUGCUGCUUCUUACACGAGACUUAAGUUGGAAGAAAUCAAAGAGAAUUUGUGUCAAUUUUAUAUUCAUCAACUAUUCAUGUAG